rnacentral:rRNA from 1 species
UACGGAGGGUGCGAGCGUUAAUCGGAAUUACUGGGCGUAAAGCGCGCGUAGGCGGUUUGUUAAGUCAGCUGUGAAAUCCCCCGGCUUAACCUGGGAACUGCGUCUGAUACUGGGAGGCUUGAGUAUGGGAGAGGGAUGUAGAAUUCCAGGUGUAGCGGUGAAAUGCGUAGAUAUCUGGAGGAAUACCGGUGGCGAAGGCGGCAUCCUGGACCAUAACUGACGCUGAGGCGCGAAAGCUAGGGGAGCAAACGGG